GAUGAACGCUGGCGGCGUGCCUAAUACAUGCAAGUCGAGCGAACAGAUGAGAAGCUUGCUUCUCUGAUGUUAGCGGCGGACGGGUGAGUAACACGUGAGUAACCUACCUAUAAGACUGGGAUAACUCCGGGAAACCGGGGCUAAUACCGGAUAAUAUUUUGAACCGCAUGGUUCAAUAGUGAAAGACGGGUUCAGCUGUCACUUAUAGAUGGAUCCGCGCCGUAUUAGCUAGUUGGUAAGGUAACGGCUUACCAAGGCGACGAUACGUAGCCGACCUGAGAGGGUGAUCGGCCACACUGGAACUGAGACACGGUCCAGACUCCUACGGGAGGCAGCAGUAGGGAAUCGUCCGCAAUGGGCGAAAGCCUGACGGAGCAACGCCGCGUGAGUGAUGAAGGUCUUCGGAUCGUAAAACUCUGUUGUUAGGGAAGAACAAAUUUGUUAGUAACUGAACAAGUCUUGACGGUACCUAACCAGAAAGCCACGGCUAACUACGUGCCAGCCGCCGCGGUAA
rnacentral:rRNA from 1 species